rnacentral:rRNA from 1 species
AGAGCGAACGCUGGCGGCAGGCUUAACACAUGCAAGUCGAACGGAUCCUUCGGGAUUAGUGGCGGACGGGUGAGUAACACGUGGGAACGUGCCUUUAGGUUCGGAACAACACAGGGAAACUUGUGCUAAUACCGGAUGUGCCCUUCGGGGGAAAGAUUUAUCGCCUUUAGAGCGGCCCGCGUCUGAUUAGCUUGUUGGUGAGGUAAAGGCUCACCAAGGCUACGAUCAGUAGCUGGUCUGAGAGGAUGGCCAGCCACAUUGGGACUGAGACACGGCCCAAACUCCUACGGGAGGCAGCAGUGGGGAAUCUUGCGCAAUGGGGGAAACCCUGACGCAGCCAUGCCGCGUGGAUGAUGAAGGUCUUAGGAUUGUAAAAUCCUUUCAGCGGGGACGAUAAUGACGGUACCGCAGAAGAAGCCCGGCUAACUUCGUGCCAGCAGCCGC